GGGCUCUGGUUAAAUUAGGGACGACCUUUUUACUACAGUGGCCGUGUAGGUAGUACGGUUUAAUAUCUGUCCCUACAGGAUGGCAGCGAGGGCAGAUAAAGAGCUUCAACUCUUUUGUGUUCUACAGAGUUGAUUUUGGAUAGAGUUAGCUGAAACGUUGACUGGAUGUCGGGGCGGGCGCUGCGGUCCUGUGUUGGAGAUUAUCGUACAGUCGUGCUGAGCUGAGGCUCAUGGACUGCACAUUUUUCCGCCGCAGAUUUCUGGUGCCUGCAGAAUUCAUUCUGUUUCCGCAUCCUCCGUGAGGCCGCAAACCUGAAAAGUUGGGUAGAUGGCGGACUCAGUGCACAAUGUUGAAGACAGAAGCGGUAUCCCAAUGUGAAGUCGAGUGUGUUUUAGGUUUGGGCGCAGUUCUGGAGUGCAGAUUUAGAGCUGGCAGCAGCACAGCCCAGGAGGAGGCUAAGGACCGGAAGCUGCCAUUCAUUCAGUUUGAGAACCUAAAUGACAUUAGCAUUUGGUACAGAAGAAACAAGUUGGGCAUGAUGGCACAGGAUGUAAUCUCAGCAAAAGUUGAAAUCCCAGAAGAAAGAAGCUUAACCCCCGGUAUCAGAGGCCUUUCUUCUCAGCAGAACUGUUGUAUCUGGCAACUUUCUAAGACAGGCACAUUUAGUGUGGUUCACUGACCUGAACAAUAAACAGGAGCUCCUGUGUCUUCAGAAA